UUGAGAUCAAAUUUAUAUCAGACUAUAAAAACAUCCAAAUGGCUAGCUCAGAUGUGGAAGUGGAAUCGGACCCUUUUAGUUGGGAAUUCAAUGGAAAUUCAUUUGACAGUGAUGAUGAUGAUGAGAUUAAUUCAGCUUGUUGUGAUCCUCCUGGACAUCCAAGUGUUUUCGACAUUGAUGAAGAUUUUGUCAAUCUCUCUCUUGGACCAAACCAAGAAAUGAUGGUUUUAAGAAGAUUAUAGGAUAUGUCAUAGAAUACGAAGACCCCACCACUGGAGGCAGGCUAAUGACUACCCAGUAGAUGAGUGUGUUUAUGAGGUGAAGGGAUUAAAAAAU